rnacentral:rRNA from 1 species
GACGAACGCUGGCGGCGUGCCUAAUACAUGCAAGUAGAACGCUGAAGGAGGAGCUUGCUUCUCCGGAUGAGUUGCGAACGGGUGAGUAACGCGUAGGUAACCUGCCUUGUAGCGGGGGAUAACUAUUGGAAACGAUAGCUAAUACCGCAUAACAGUAGAUCUUGCAUGAUAUCUGCUUGAAAGGUGCAAUUGCAUCACUACCAGAUGGACCUGCGUUGUAUUAGCUAGUUGGUGAGGUAACGGCACACCAAGGCGACGAUACAUAUCCGACCUGAGAGGGUGAUCGGCCAAACUGGGACUGAGACACGGCCCAGACUCCUACGGGGGGCAGCAGUAGGGAAACAUCGGCAAUGGACGGAAGUCUGACCGAGCAAAGCCGCGUGAGGGAAGAAGGGUUUCGGGUCGUAAAGCUCUGUUGUAAGAGAAGAACGAGUGUGAGAGUGGAAAGUUCACACUGUGACGGUAUCUUACCAGAAAGGGACGGCUAACUACGUG